rnacentral:rRNA from 1 species
UGGGUGUAAAGGGCGAGUAGACGGCGUUGCAAGUCAGAUGUGAAAACUUGAGGCUCAACCCCAAGACUGCAUCUGAAACUGUGAUGCUAGAGUGCAGGAGAGGAAAGUGGAAUUCCUAGUGUAGCGGUGAAAUGCGUAGAUAUUAGGAGGAACACCAGUGGCGAAGGCGACUUUCUGGACUGUAACUGACGUUGAGGCGCGAAAGUGUGGGGAGCAAACAGGAUUAGAUACCCUGGUAGUCCACACUGUAAACGAUGGAUACUAGGUGUAGGCACUAACGUGUCUGUGCCGGCGCUAACGCAAUAAGUAUCCCACCUGGGGAGUACGGCCGCAAGGUUGAAACUCAAAGAAAUUGACGGGGGCCCGCACAAGCAGUGGAGUAUGUGGUUUAAUUCGACGCAACGCGAAGAACCUUACCAAGACUUGACAUACAAUUGAAUACGUAAGAAAUUACGUAGUCCCUCGGGACAGUUGUACAGGUGAUGCACGGUUGUCGUCAGCUCGUGUCGUGAGAUGUUGGGUUAAGUCCCGCAACGAGCGCAACCCUCGUGACUAGUUGCUGCCUAGCAGAACUCUAGUCAGACUGCCGUAGUUAAUACGGAGGAAGGUGAGGAUGACGUCAAAUCAUCAUGUCCCUUAUGUCUUGGGCUACACACGUACUACAAUGACUACUACAGAGAGAAGCAAGAUCGCGAGAUUGAGCAAAACUGAUAAAAGUAGUCCUAGUUCGGAUUGGAGGCUGCAACUCGCCUCCAUGAAGCUGGAAUUGCUAGUAAUCACAGGUCAGCAUACUGUGGUGAAUACGUUCCCGGGCCUUGCACUCACCGCCCGUC